rnacentral:rRNA from 1 species
GACGAACGCUGGCGGCGUGCUUAACACAUGCAAGUCGAACGGAAAGGCCCUGCUUUUGUGGGGUGCUCGAGUGGCGAACGGGUGAGUAACACGUGAGUAACCUGCCCUUGACUUUGGGAUAACUUCAGGAAACUGGGGCUAAUACCGGAUAGGAGCUCCUGCUGCAUGGUGGGGGUUGGAAAGUUUCGGCGGUUGGGGAUGGACUCGCGGCUUAUCAGCUUGUUGGUGGGGUAGUGGCUUACCAAGGCUUUGACGGGUAGCCGGCCUGAGAGGGUGACCGGCCACGUUGGGACUGGGAACCGGCCCAGGCCCUUACGGGGGGCAGGAGGGGGGAAUAUUGCACAAGGGGCGGAAGCCGGAUGCAGAAACGCCGGGGGGGGGAGGACGGCCUUCGGGUGGAAAACCCCUUUCGCCUGUAACGAGGCGGGAGUGACGGUAAGGGUUAAAGAAACACCGGCAAACUACGG